rnacentral:piRNA from 1 species
UCUGACUGUAAAUUUUUUUAG